UACGGGGGGGGCAAGCGUUGUUCGGAAUUACUGGGCGUAAAGGGCGCGUAGGCGGCCGUGUAAGUCACCUGUGAAAUCCCGGGGCUCAACUCCGGGGCUGCAGGUGAGACUGCGUGGCUAGAGCACGGGAGAGGGAUGUGGAAUUCCAGGUGUAGCGGUGAAAUGCGUAGAUAUCUGGAGGAACACCGGUGGCGAAGGCGGCAUCCUGGACCGGUAUUGACGCUGAGGCGCGAAAGCCAGGGGAGCAAACGGG
rnacentral:rRNA from 1 species